UGGGGAAUAUUGGGCAAUGGGCGAAAGCCUGACCCAGCAACGCCGCGUGAGGGAAGAAGGCUUUCGGGUUGUAAACCUCUGUCGCAGGGGACGAAAGAAAUGACGGUACCCUGUGAGGAAGCCCCGGCUAACUACGUGCCAGCAGCCGCGGUAAUACGUAGGGGGCGAGCGUUGUCCGGAAUUACUGGGCGUAAAGGGUGCGUAGGCGGCAAUUUAAGUUGGAUGUGAAAUCCCCGGGCUUAACCUGGGUGGUGCAUCCAAAACUGAAUAGCUAGAGUGCAGGAGAGGGAAGCGGAAUUCCUAGUGUAGCGGUGAAAUGCGUAGAUAUUAGGAGGAACACCAGUGGCGAAGGCGGCUUUCUGGACUGUAACUGACGCUGAGGCACGAAAGCGUGGGGAGCAAACA
rnacentral:rRNA from 1 species